CUCCCUCCCUCCCUCCCUCCCUCUCUCUCUCUCUCUCUCUCUCUCAUCCCUCCUAAAUCUCUUGGCCCAUUCAUCCUUCCCACAGAACAGCUCAAUUAAACUCAGCGCUGCAGUAAGAUAGCAUUUCACUGAGGAAGGGAAAGAUUUUUUUUAACCACGAAACAAUGCUGAGAAAUUUGCAGCUGGGGAAAUCUGAAAUGGAAAAACAGCACAGGGAGAGUGUUGCUUUGCAUCAGGUUGUCAGACAGCUGGCAUAAUGGGGUAGGCGAGGCCAUGCGCUCGCAUUAAACAGCGCGGUAAUGCAUUGCACGGCAGUCUCCCAGGGAUCCAGUGCCGGUACGCACUCAAGGCUCAGUCCUACCUUAAUCUAUUGAUUAUGCUUAUAGGAGUACACAAAAGCAGGGAGAAAAGACAGUCCUUCUCAUCUGUACUAGAGGGGAUUAUCCUGCCCUCUUUCCCUCUCCUCCUACAGUAUGGCUGGUCACAGUCCCAGCAGGCAACUUUACAUUACUACAGAGUGGAGAAGAGGUAGGAGAGAGAGAGAGCGAGAGAGAGCGAGAGAGAGAGAGAGAGAGAGAGAGACAAAAAGUAGGCUUGCCAGAAAUGCGAAAAACCUAAGCGCUGGAGUACCACUUCUGCAGGCAGGAUAAAAAAAAAACAUUUAUCUUGACGCUGAAAGCACUUGAACAUUUACUGAAUGUUAAAGGACCAUGUGCUGCAGACCACUCUGUAUGCUGAUGCCAAUGGAGAACUAGACCAGCCUGAACAUCAGACCUGCCCUGCCCUGCCCUGCCUCAGUGCCCAUGGCACCAUGCCAGGUGGGUGCCUCCUCUUACUGAUGCCCCUGGAAAUGUACACAUGCCCCACCCAGGUUUUGGUGUCUCGCGCUCGUGCUCGUGCUCUCCCUCUCUCUCUCUCUCUCUCUCUCUCUCUCUCUCUCUCUCUCUCUCUCUCUCUCUCUUAUUCUCUCUCUUAAUCCUGCCCCCCCCCCUCUUUCCCCUCUUUCCCUCUCUGCCCCCCAUCUAAAUGCAGUUCGUUUCCGAGCUGUUGGCUAUGCACCACCCCAAACAUUUGUCUUGAGCAAACAGCAAGGGGACAGGCAGGCAAGGAAACAGGACACAAGCCAUCCGCCUCCCCAGAAGAAGAAAAAAAAACAUCCUCCUCUGGCUAGCCUUCUGUUGCAUGCCUCCACACACACCACCUUCUGAGUGGCGACCAACAUUACACCUCUGCCUCAAACACAAGUGAGGGCCAAUGUGAGGGAAGGUGGAAACAUGAGAGCAUCUAUAGCUAUAACCCUAUGGCAAGAGUAGCAGAAAUGAGAAAUGAGAAGGAUUAGCAUUAGCGAUGGCAUUACAAACACUGGCUGUGAAUACUGUUGUAAAGAACUGUAAAGAGGUGCUUAGCGAAAAGGCAGAGGAUGCUUCAGAGCAUUUGAUGGCAUAAUAAAGACACGCUCAAUCAGCUCGCAGACAAACGGGCUAUGCGAUAUAACUACCAGAAGAAUCAUGUCCGAUUACACAACCAAAAUGUCACCCAUUGCACUUGUGACAACAGUGAUGGCACACAGAUAUAAACCAUGUGUGUGUGUGUGUCGUACGAGCCAGCAUGUCGUUACCAUCGGCAUUCUCAUAUUCUAGGAGGCACCGGUGCAUUGCAUGGAGGAAGAAGAAGAUGAAGAGACCCUGUUGCAUCCAUCACUUUAGAUAUGAACUCAGCAAAAAUCCUCAGCGAAAAACAAAUAUUAAAAUGAAAUACAAUCAAGCCCACAUUUUUACACUUUACACACUUUUCACUUUACUGAAAAAUGGCUUAGAAAAGGCAUUUGUAAGACAUACAAAUGUUAUGAGCAUUUUAAAAAGGUAAAGGUUAUCUGGAAUACUUAUUUUUUCUUGCACCAGUGCACACAGAUAACCAGCCAAAUUCAGUUGAUGAGGUGUCACAACAAACAGCCACCACUAUUAUCACUGCCCACAUCACAGCACCGACAACAGCGCAGACAGAAAAAUGAUCCACACUGACAACAAACCCAACAGAAAUAAUAUACCCGGACAAGGUGUGAUGGUCAGGUACAGGUAGCAAGGAUAUGCAUAUGACCCUCUCUCUGGAGGGAUUGAGGUCCGUGCACAUUACGUCUGCAAUGGCAUUUAGUGAGCACCAGCUUUGCUUACCUCCACAGGUUUAAGAAAGAAAGAUGGCCCCAGGUUUCACUCCCUCCUUGGCUAACUCUGCGUCUUGCUUUCCCCUCUAAUCUGGGUCUUCUCCCUCCUCCUCUCUGUGUGAGUGAUUGUGCUCUCUCGCUCUCUAGCGCUGAUGCUGCAGUGAUACAAAAACACACCCUCUCCUACUUGCGCUCUCCCUCCCUCGCUCUGAUUGGCUGAUGGGGAGAGGUGACAUCACCCUUUUUCUCCCACUCCCUGCUUCCUCCACUCCCUCCCUCCCUCCCUCUCACUCUCUCUCCCUCCCU
ensembl:lncRNA